ACCUGAGCCGGAGCGCCGCCAUCAUCAGCGACUCAGACGAGCUCACCAAAGCGAGACCGAGCCCCGCCUUGGGAGGCAACCGAUGAAGACCACCCGUCAAUUACUGUGCUUCAGUCAGUCGAGGUGAAAUAUGUCAGUGAUGCUGUGCAACAAAUUGAAAAUGCUUGCAUGGUCAGGUGCACUUGCAAGUCCAACGAAGGGUAGCCCUGCUAUUUGCUUUUUACCCCCAAGGAGAUGAGACGUGACAAGAUGAAUUAACUCACCAAUGGUACUGUAAGUGCUUGUCAUUCAAUUAUUAUUCCAUUUUUGUUGGCUGUGUGUGUGUUUCUGUGUCUGUCUAACGUUAUCUGUCAGUGUCUGUGUGAUGAGGCACAAGUAUACUGACUAGCUGGCUAGUUUAUUAAAGCCAAGUGUGUGUGAGUGAGUGAGUGGCAUUAGAGGGAGAUAAGUGGAGGAUGUGUAGCUAACUACUCUAUGUGGCUAGUAACUUAUGGGACCUGUGUGUGUGUGUGUAAUUGAUUGAUAAUGGAAGGCCGUUUGGAUAUUUGCGUGUCUAAAAUACACGUCAAAUAACACUAUUUGACGCGUUAAAUAAGCUUUUAAUUUGAUGCGUCAAAUAACACAGUUCUAUUAUAGAAUGUUGUGUGUGAUGAAUUUGCACGUGCAAGCCAAGCGCCACCACUACUAUCAGUAGCAUUGUCAAAGCUGUACAAAAAAGUCUGCAAACAAGCAAACACCGGCCACGAACGAUUUGUUUACAAUGCCGCGUUGGUAAUAAAGCAUUAUUUGCUCGACGGCAACUUCAACUUCUGGGGUAGCUAGCUAGCUUUAGCUUGGUACCUUGCUAGUGUAACAGUAUAACUUUAGACCGUCCCCUCGCCCAUACCCGGGCGCGAACCAGGAACCCUCUGCACACAUCAAAAGCAAGGGGAACCACUACUUCAAGGUCUCAGAGCAAGUGACGUCACCGAUUGAACCACCAUUUAGCGCGCACCACCGCUAACCGGCUAGCCGUUUCACAUCCGUUACACUAGCACCAAUACAACCAGACUGAAAAUAAUGACCAUUAUUUUCAUUAUUCUUAGCAAUGAUUUAGGAAUCAUUGUGAGCAAGUAUUAGCUUGGUAAACACUUGUUGUUCGCCUAUUGUAAUUGAACUUCAGUUCAUGGAAAUACAUAUCUAGCCAGCUACUUAACCCUGUUGCCCAAAGCUAACGUUAUAAGCAGCCAGCUAGCUUCUUCUGGCAAAUGAGGCAGUGUUGCUAACUCCUCAGUAAGGAAAGUAGCUACUGGCUGUCCUAAAAGUCGCCAGAAGUCGCUAAAUGACAUAAUCACCUAAUCUGUAUAAAUCGGCCAUGUGCAUGUAAUUGUGAUGGACGCUGUAGGAGAGGCGAAUAACGUCGUGGGAGAGACAAAAAUGCGGGAUCAGCCAGCGGCGGCUUCCCGCAUGCGCGAUUCAUUUGCAGUCUGGACGCGGAUGGGUGAACAUCUCCUGCUCUGACUACAGCUGGGAGGGACUGCUGUGCGAGGACUGGGCCGCCUGUGAGUGCUUGGGGACUGGGGUGGGGCCCACGGCAGCACCCGCUGCUCGUUGAGAAGAAUGAAAAACAUCUAGUGCUCAUUGGACAGAUCACUGGUUCCAUGAACCUCUCCAAGGAAACUGUCAUCUCAAAGGAGCAAACAAGCAGAAAGGAGACAUCAGAUGAGGUCAUAUUUCCUUGAUUGCCAGCAGAUCUGAAGACUCAUAAGUUCUUUAGAGUAAUACAACUUGAUGUUUUCUGUUAUUUUGGGGCUGCAACAGUAUUACAAGUGCUUCCCAAACAGUUCGCGUUGCCCUUCUGCUAUAGGACAACACCCAUGACGUAUUUAUUCCAAACAUCUGUCAGCACAAAGAUUCAAGUCACUACCAGCCAUCAGGAUUUAAAACUGCUUUCAGAGGGCAUAACCACCUCAAGCUUGCUUUCAAAAUAAACAAUUCGCAACAGAAACUGAACAUCUGUUCAGGAAGUCAUAUCUAGGCUACUUCCCCAUUUCACAUUACAAAACAUUUCCCAAUUAUUGAACUAUGCAAUGAAAAUUGACUCAAUCCUAGUAUUCAUAUAUCAAAUCUCAUUUUCACUUGGCUUUUGGAACAAUUAACAUGAAAAAUACAGAAAAGUUGAUUCGCCCCAGACAAAUGACGCAGCCGGUGGUUGAAGUUGAAUUGAACAGUAUAAAAAAAAAUCAUAAUGGAGAAAGACCCAUUGAAAUCACCUAGAAUAUAUGUUGUCACGCACUACUCAUAAAGCAAAUUUAAAAUUUGUAUUAUUUAAAAACAUAAAAUACUGUCUCAUACAGUCAUUAUUAUUUUUAAUACCGUGAUAAUAUUUUGGCCAUAUCGCCCAGCCCUACUUUUUACUAAGCUAACAGAACACACACUCCGCUGACACGCAACAGAAACAGAAAACACAUCAAACCACAUUUACAUCUAUUUACAGUUCAAUCAAACCAAGGACUUGGAGCAGAGUCCAGUGCUUCAUAGCAUCUCAGUGAGCUGUCAAUCAUUUAACCUGGGAAAUAAAGAAGGGAAAUGGAUCUAAGUCCUCAUACAGCAGCUUAGACAUAUAGGGGUCGUAUUCACUAGACACCAAAGAGAAGAACACGGAACAAAAACAAACCUGAACUUAGAAACUAGUUUUUGUUGCAAAACCGGUUUGCAUCAAUGAAUAUAACAGUGUCUGGAUGUCUACAAUGGCUUAUUGUACACUAUAUCAGUGUGCUCAUGAAACUGAUUAUUAUUCCAUUUCUGUUAGUCACAUGUCUGUGGAACUUGUUCAGUUUGUCUCAUUUGUUGAAUCUUGUUACAUUCAUACAAAUAUUUACACAUGUUAAGUUUGCUGAAAAUAAAUGCAGUUAACAGUGGGGGGACGUUUCUUUUUUUGCCGAGUUUAUAUUCCAAGCUUGUUAAAGCAACGGUAGGAGACAUAAAUAAACCAUCAAUCACAAGUGAGAAUCUGAUCCGCUCUGAAAAUUGUCUUAAGAUCUGAAAAAGAUACUGUGGCUAGCACUGCUGGAGCAGUAGCAGUCUGUGAUCUUAAUUAACAAUGUUGGUUGAUGACAAAAGGUAUUUUAAUAGCCUUUUGGUUUUUAUUGCUCUUUACAAUAUAUUAAAAUACUAUUGUUCACUGAUUUCAAAAUAAUAGAUGGAGCUCUAAGUCCCCCAAAAAUGUCACUACACCUCACCAGUGGAACAAGCCAAUUUGCAGCUAGCAAUGGAAUGCAUACCAAUACAUGUUUUGCAGUAUAAAGGAAUUAGCUACACAUGUUCUGAUUAAAUAACAGUUAAAUGAAAUGGAAAAUGUAUGUCAUUUUGUAGUGAUUUAAUAGUGAAG
ensembl:lncRNA